rnacentral:rRNA from 1 species
CACGUAGGGUGCGAGCGUUGUCCGGAAUUAUUGGGCGUAAAGAGCUCGUAGGCGGCUUGUCGCGUCGACUGUGAAAACCCGCGGCUCAACUGCGGGCCUGCAUUCGAUACGGGCAGACUAGAGUUCGGUAGGGGAGACUGGAAUUCCUGGUGUAGCGGUGAAAUGCGCAGAUAUCAGGAGGAACACCGGUGGCGAAGGCGGGUCUCUGGGCCGAUACUGACGCUGAGGAGCGAAAGCGUGGGGAGCGAACAGG